rnacentral:misc_RNA from 1 species
AACUCAGGUCAGAAAGCAGGA